AUAAUGGGUCAGCGACUUAUAUUCUGUAGCAAGGUUAACCGAAUAGGGGAGCCGAAGGGAAACCGAGUCUUAACUGGGCGUUAAGUUGCAGGGUAUAGACCCGAAACCCGGUGAUCUAGCCAUGGGCAGGUUGAAGGUUGGGUAACACUAACUGGAGGACCGAACCGACUAAUGUUGAAAAAUUAGCGGAUGACUUGUGGCUGGGGGUGAAAGGCCAAUCAAACCGGGAGAUAGCUGGUUCUCCCCGAAAGCUAUUUAGGUAGCGCCUCGUGAAUUCAUCUCCGGGGGUAGAGCACUGUUUCGGCAAGGGGGUCAUCCCGACUUACCAACCCGAUGCAAACUGCGAAUACCGGAGAAUGUUAUCACGGGAGACACACGGCGGGUGCUAACGUCCGUCGUGAAGAGGGAAACAACCCAGACCGCCAGCUAAGGUCCCAAAGUCAUGGUUAAGUGGGAAACGAUGUGGGAAGGCCCAGACAGCCAGGAUGUUGGCUUAGAAGCAGCCAUCAUUUAAAGAAAGCGUAAUAGCUCACUGGUCGAGUCGGCCUGCGCGGAAGAUGUAACGGGGCUAAACCAUGCACCGAAGCUGCGGCAGCGACGCUGAUGCGUUGUUGGGUAGGGGAGCGUUCUGUAAGCCUGUGAAGGUGUGC
rnacentral:rRNA from 2 species